UCGAGGGGCAUCAUGAAGUAGCAAUACCUUGAUGGCGACCGGCGCACGGGUGAGUAACGCGUAUGCAACCUGCCCGAUACCGGGGUAUAGCCCAUGGAAACGUGGAUUAACACCCCAUAGUACUUUUAUCCUGCAUGGGAUGGGAGUUAAAUGUUCAAGGUAUCGGAUGGGCAUGCGUCCUAUUAGUUAGUUGGCGGGGUAACAGCCCACCAAGACGAUGAUAGGUAGGGGUUCUGAGAGGAAGGUCCCCACAUUGGAACUGAGACACGGUCCAAACUCC
rnacentral:rRNA from 1 species